AGUGAACGCUGGCGGUAGGCCUAACACAUGCAAGUCGAACGGCAGCACAGUAAGAGCUUGCUCUUACGGGUGGCGAGUGGCGGACGGGUGAGGAAUGCAUCGGAAUCUACUCUGUCGUGGGGGAUAACGUAGGGAAACUUACGCUAAUACCGCAUACGACCUACGGGUGAAAGCAGGGGAUCUUCGGACCUUGCGCGAUUGAAUGAGCCGAUGCCCGAUUAGCUAGUUGGCGGGGUAAGAGCCCACCAAGGCGACGAUCGGUAGCUGGUCUGAGAGGAUGAUCAGCCACACUGGAACUGAGACACGGUCCAGACUCCUACGGGAGGCAGCAGUGGGGAAUAUUGGACAAUGGGCGCAAGCCUGAUCCAGCCAUACCGCGUGGGUGAAGAAGGCCUUCGGGUUGUAAAGCCCUUUUGUUGGGAAAGAAAAGCAGCCGGUUAAUACCCGGUUGUUCUGACGGUACCCAAAGAAUAAGCACCGGCUAACUUCGUG
rnacentral:rRNA from 1 species